GACGAACGCUAGCGGCGCGCUUGACACAUGCAAGUCGAGCGAGGUGUCUCUUUCGGGAGAUAACCGAGCGGCGAACGGGUGAGUAACACGUGAGUAAUCUACUCUGGAAUCGGGGAUAACCCUGGGAAACCGGGGCUAAUACCGGAUAGCCGUCUUCUCGGGCAUCCGGGGGGACGGAAAGGUGCCGUGCUGUGAGGUGCGGUGCCCGGUCCGGAAUGGGCUCGCGGCCCAUAAGCUGGUUGGUGGGGGCCGGGCCGACCAAGGCGACGACGGGUAGCCGGCCUGAGAGGGUGAUCGGCCACACUGGGACUGAGACACGGCCCAGACUCCUACGGGAGGCAGCAUUGGGGAAUCUUGCGCAAUGGGCGAAAGCCUGACGCAGCGACGCCGCGUGGGGGAGGACGGCCUUCGGGUUGUAAACCUCUUUCAGCCCUGACAAAGGUGAUGGUAGGGGCAGAAGAAGCGCCGGCUAACUACGUGCCAGCAGCCGCCGUAAGAC
rnacentral:rRNA from 1 species